rnacentral:siRNA from 1 species
GUUGGGGAUCAGACGCAAGACGUA